GAGCGGGGGUUAGUAUGGUGCUUGCACCGGACUAAUUCAGCGGCGGACGGGUGAGUACACGUGGAUAACCUACCCUAAACCGGGGGAUAACACUGAGAAAUCAGUGCUAAAACCUCAUAAUAUCCCUAGGAGGCAUCUUCUGGGAAGAAAUAUUAAUAGGUUUGGGCUGGGUCCGCGCCUGAUUAGCUAGUUGGUAGUGUAAUGGACUACCAAGGCUUCGAUCAGUAGCCGGGAUGAGAGUCUGACCGGCCACAUUGGGACUGAGACACGGCCCAAACUCCUACGGGAGGCAGCAGUGGGGAAUAUUGCACAAUGGGCGGAAGCCUGAUGCAGCAACGCCGCGUGCGGGAAGAAGGGGUUCGCCUCGUAAACCGCUAUCGUUGGGGACGAAGAAAAUGACGGUACCCAAGUAAGAAGCCCCGGCUAACUACGUGCCAGCAGCCGCGGUAAU
rnacentral:rRNA from 1 species